UACGUAGGGGGCUAGCGUUGUCCGGAAUCAUUGGGCGUAAAGCGCGUGUAGGCGGUCCGGUAAGUCCGCUGUGAAAGUCGGGGGCUCAACCCUCGAAUGCCGGUGGAUACUGUCGGGCUAGAGUGCGGAAGAGGCGAGUGGAAUUCCUGGUGUAGCGGUGAAAUGCGCAGAUAUCAGGAGGAACACCAAUUGCGAAGGCAGCUCGCUGGGACGUAACUGACGCUGGAGACGCGAAAGCGUGGGGAGCAAACAGG
rnacentral:rRNA from 1 species